rnacentral:lncRNA from 1 species
UCAUGGAGGAAUAUUCCAACCCUCCUCCCUUCAGCUCACCUGCCCUUAAAAUAGUACUGCCUCCCUGAGAAACACACAUCGCUGUUAUUAAAAAACUAUUAUUGUUUAACAGUAACUGCAUUGUGAACAGAAAAGGUACAGACGGUACCAGAUGGACCUAAAAUCAAAAUGAUACAAACAGGCACCAAACAGACACACUGAGAAAGCCAGUGUGCUAGUGGGUUACAUAAGGCUGGGGAAGAGGCGGAUGGAUGGGGGGACUGUAAGAGGCUUAUUGUCAUGACGAUAUCUGGAUAAAGAAGGAGCUGUGCGGUUUAACUUUCAAGUGAGUGUGAAGAAUCGAACGUACAGCUGAGGGCUGGUGAGACAAAGUGCAGACAACUAACUGCUGGAGAGCUCAAAGCAUUUGGCUGCUUCUUCCAGAGGGAUGCGUGCAUGAUCGCACCUGCGCGUGAGCGUCUGUGCAGAUUUAACAGCGGGUGAUGAAGAGGGAGCUACUUAAAGGUAAUAGGGAUUAUAUUUCCUUUCUUUAUGUUAAAUUCUAUGGGGAAGUAGAUUACACACCUUCAGCAUCUUUGCUCUGACACUUGGGCUGUUUCUCUUACCAAGAGCAAGCCCCGAAGUGCCCGUAGGAGACCUGAUCAUCAAGGCCGCCAGUGUGGCAGAGGGACCCUGGAGAAAGAACGGCACUGCACACCGCUCCCACUUUGCAAACUUCUCCAGGUGGUGAAAGAGUCCAGACUUGGGCAGGAAGGAGUCUUCUCUCUCCAGAAGUUAAGCUAGCCAUCCAUAACUGUCUGCCCCCAAAGCCACAAGCCAUGCGGCUCAGCGCGGCUCCUUCCCACCAGGUUUAACUGUGGUCCGCUGUGUGCCAAGCCCUGUUCUAGGCCCUGGAGAAGCGGCGGUGACUUAAAGGGACAGAAACUGCUGCCCU